rnacentral:rRNA from 1 species
AUACAGAGGGUGCAAGCGUUAAUCGGAAUUACUGGGCGUAAAGGACGCGUAGGCGGGUUGGCAAGUCAGAUGUGAAAUCCUACAGCUUAACUGUAGAACUGCAUUUGAAACUGCUAACCUAGAGUAUGGGAGGGGGAGAUGGAAUUAGUGGUGUAGGGGUAAAAUCCGUAGAUAUCACUAGGAAUACCGAAAGCGAAGGCGAUCUCCUGGAACAUAACUGACGCUAAGGCGUGAAAGCGUGGGGAGCAAACAGGAUUAGAAACCCUAGUAGUCC